rnacentral:lncRNA from 12 species
UCCCCAGGGAACAGGCCUGCGCCCGCACCGGGGGACCCACGCCAGUGCGCAUCCCCAGGGAACAGGCCUGCGCCCGCACUGGGGGACCCACGCCGGCUCUCUCUCUCUCUCUCUCUCUCUCUCUCUCUCUCUCUCACACACACACACACACACACACACACACACACACACACACGGCGACACACGCGGGGCACACGCGGGCCCCGGGACGGUGGUUCGCUCCAGGCCGGUCCCGGCUGGAGGAGCGCCCCCCACCCUGCCCAACGCCGCCCUCGGGCCUUGCGACCCCCGCUUGGCUCGGUUGUGCGGGAGGCUGGGGAUGGGCCGCCGCCAGGGGAUGGCGAGGGGUCGGGGAUGGCGCUGGGCGCGCCGACCCGGGAGCCCCGGUCCCGACCCGCGCCGCAGGGGUGGCGGCGUCCGCCCGGCUCCGCGGUCUCCCGCGUCCUCACUCUGGCCUUCCCCUUCCCCGCAGCCCUUCCCUGGUAAACUCUUCACUUCGGAGAACUUUGUCCCCACGUCUUGGCUCCUUGUCCCUUCUUCCCUUCCUCCAGGCGCAGCCUGGCCACCGGAGCUCCGGCUGCGGGCUCCGAGGUGUCCGAUCUGAGAGGAGUUGCCCAAACCUGGCCAGAUGUGGGAUCUGAGAACCUUAGCUGGGAGGCUCUUGAACAUGAGAGCAGCAGCUUGCCCAUUGCCAGCCUGCCUACCUCCAGCCUCUUAUAGUACCCAGGGCUCUAGGAGCCAAGCGGAAGACAGAAGACAGACACUUACUGGUGUGAUUCAGUUGCAACACAGAGCCUUCUCCUGUUUAUUGGGGGCAGAAUGAUCCCUACCAGGUCUGUGUCCAAAUCCCCGGAACCUGUGAAUAUGUUAUCUUACUAUGGAAGAAAGGACUUUGCAGAUAUGAUUAGGGUUAAUGACCUUGAGAUGGGGAGAUUGCCUUGCAUUACCUGGGUGGGGCAAAAGUCAUCACAGCGCUUCUUAAAGGUGAAGAACCUUUCUUGGCCCUGAGCAGAGGGAGAUUUGAGGAGGGAAGCAGGCUUGGGAAGAGGAGGAAGGGGGUGUGAACCAGGGAGUGCAGGCAGCCUCUACAAACUGGAAAAGCAAAGGAGGUAGAUUCUCUCCUAGAGCUUUCUGCAGGCACCUUGCUUUAGUGUCAAACUUCCGAUCUACAGAGCUGUGAUUAAAACUGUAAUAUUCACUCACCAUUCAUCCAGGAAGAUCCAUUUAUUCAUCCAGAGUCCUUCUUUGGUCAUAUCAUAUGCACACAUACACACACACUCCCACCCGCCCCCCCACCCCCACACACAUACACAGUCAGUACUACUCGAGUUAAGUGCUGGUGGGUCCAGGCGUGGCUGUAAGUAAUCAUCAUAGUAAUGAUCAUACUAUUACUACUAAUACUACCAAUACUGAUACAGCAAACACUUAAAUCACACCCACCAUGUGUACUUUGCUUUACAUUUAUGAAUUCCUUCCGUUUUCAUGACAGGUCUAGGAGGCAGGUAGGUUAUGCUUCAUGUGUCCAUUUUACAGGUGGGGAAGCCAAGUCACAGAGAGGUUCAAUAACUUGCCCAGGGUCACACAGCUAAGAAGGGAUGGAGCUGGGAUUUGAACCCAAGCUAUCUGGCUUACAUUUAUAUG